UACUCUUUGCUCCAAGUUUCCAAAAGCACUUUUGGUCUUCCCUAGUGAUGCUACCAGUUGGUUUCCGUUUCAAUCUCCAUUUUCGUUGCCUUCUCCUUUGGGUGUUGAAUCUAGUUCCUGAUGAUACUGGAGAUGUGUUUCUCAUACAAGAAUUUUCUUCUAUCCAAGGUAUUUGGGGUUGUUCCAUUUCCCUUUAGGAUCAAAGGAUGUACCAGUCUAGAGUUUGCAUCUCUUCCCACUAUGUGGUAGCUGAAACAGAUAUCGUCCUAUGGUUGACAUUCAUUCAUUCAUGUUAGAUCUGACACCGGACUUCUUUACUUUAGAUGAAUGUUUUGUGUGCUAACAUAGUUUAGCCUAGCUAGCUUGACAACUUUAUAUACCCUAUGCCA